UACGGAGGGUGCAAGCGUUAUCCGGAUUCACUGGGUUUAAAGGGUGCGUAGGUGGGCAGGUAAGUCAGUGGUGAAAUCUCCGGGCUUAACUCGGAAACUGCCGUUGAUACUAUCUGUCUGAAUAUCGUGGAGGUUAGCGGAAUAUGUCAUGUAGCGGUGAAAUGCUUAGAUAUGACAUAGAACACCCAUUGCGAAGGCAGCUAACUACACGAUCAUUGACACUGAGGCACGAAAAGCGUGGGGAGCAAACAGG
rnacentral:rRNA from 1 species